GCCACAUCACAUUGAAACACUGGUUCCCAUAUGAUUACUGAAGUUAAGCAAUGUCGAGCCUGGACAGUUCCUAGAUGGGUGACUGCUUGGGAAUAAUAAGUGUUGUAAG